rnacentral:rRNA from 1 species
UACAGAGGUGGCAAGCGUUGUUCGGAAUUACUGGGCGUAAAGGGCGCGUAGGCGGCCCGUCAAGUCCCGUGUGAAAGCCCCCGGCUCAACCGGGGAACUGCACGGGAAACUAGCAGGCUUGAGUUCGGGAGAGGGAAGCGGAAUUUCGGGUGUAGCGGUGAAAUGCGCAGAUAUCCGAAGGAACACCGGUGGCGAAGGCGGCUUCCUGGACCGACACUGACGCUGAGGCGCGAAAGCUAGGGGAGCGAACGGG